rnacentral:rRNA from 1 species
CCUACGGGAUGCAGCAGUAGGGAAUUUUCGGCCAUGGGGGGAACCCUGACCGAGCAACGCCGCGUGAACGAAGAAGUUAUUCGUAAUGUACAGUUCUUUUAACAGGGAAGAAAGAGAAAUUUGACGGUACCUGAAGAAUAAGCUCCGGCUAACUACGUGCCAGCAGCCGCGGUAAUACGUAGGGAGCGAGCGUUAUCCGGAAUUAUUGGGCGGAAAGGGUGCGUAGAUGGCAUAGUAAGUCUUUUGUAAAAAUGCUGGGCUCAACCCAGUAGGGCAAAAGAUACUGCAAAGCUAGAGUAUGACAGAGGAAAGUGGAACUACAUGUGGAGCGGUAAAAUGCGGAAAUAUAUGGAAGAACACCAGUGGCGAAGGCGGCUUGCUGGGUCGAUACUGACAUUGAGGCACGAAAGCGUGGGGAGCAAACAGGAUUAGAUACCCGUGUAGUC